GCUUUGAUCAGGUUCAAUUUAAACAAUAUCUAUUUGCCAAAUACUCAUGACAUGAAUUUUCUCUCAGGGUUUUAUAUAAAAAAAAAUCAUUGAAACAUGUAUGUACAUGAAUGUGACUGAAAUAUUUUUAAGCUAUAUAUACAUUUUAUUUCUACUGCCUUCACUAUGACUUGCUUAACCUUUGAUGCACGACACUGCUCUGGACUGUAUGCUCUCAGCAGUCGACUGCCUCUACGUAUUUCUUUUUUUUUAUUCUCAAAUCUUUUCAAGUUACGAAUUGUAUGAUAAAAAUGCCCAAACCUUUCAAGUUUGUAAAAUUGGGUUUAAACAGCACUGCCUUUGAACAUAAGAUGCAUUUCAAUAUAAUGAUAAUUUAACACACACCCCCACCACCACCACCACCACCACCAUGCGCACCUAUCUGAUUUUUAAAAAAAAAAUGAAAUUCAUAUGAUAAUCCCCUUGUAGCAAUGGUAUGUUCCAAAAGAGAAAAUUAGAACAAUAUUAAUUUAUAAUGAAGCAAUCUUCUUAGGGUUUUUGUUACUGAUCCCAGCUUCACACCAAAGCACGUAGGGGGGAAAACUAUACAGAAUUAAAUUAUUUCUAAUAAUCCUUAAGCGGUAAAGAAAUUGAUAAUUUACAAGCAUUCAUUACAUUUAACUUUAUAAGCUUUCAUCAAAAAUAAAUAAAAACCUCAUACAUGUAUAGACAUAUAAUUUACACAUCAAUGCAGCCACUGAUGUGUAUUCCAAAGGGACUCAACUUGUCAUACUGGUCUAGAAAAUAAUAAAGGUCCUGAAUGCAACAAUAUUAAUAUGAUACAAAAUAUUUGUCAGACGAGUCAGAUUGCAUGCUCAAUCUUAAUUUUGAUACUUGUAUAUAUAUUUGAUAAAUAAUUUUUUUGUUUUUGUUUCAGUUAAAUCCUUAUAUUCCCUGUCUAACUCUUAAUCUCAGAGCAGCCUUUACCUGGUCAUAAUUUGAAGAAAACUUCUGUAUAUCACAAGGACUAAGACUUCUUGCCCAUUGACAUGACUGAUUUAUUUAACCUUUAAACAUAUCCCCAGGUCAGGAUUUGAAUUGCUUAAAUCUACCAUUAAAGUCAUAUGCUAGAUAAAGAUCAAAAUUAAUACAUGUACUUACAUAGUAAUAUUGAGCGGACAGUAUAUUCCUAUGUCCAGUUUGACCCUUGACCUUUGACCAUGUGACCUCAAAAUCAAUAGGGGUUAUCUUCUUCUAAAGAUAUACCAGUGUACCAAGUUUGAUGACUGUCAAGCAAAGGGUUCUCUAGACAUUGAGCGGACAGUAUAUUCCUAUGUCCAGAGUAGAUUGACCCUUAAACUUUGACCUGAAAAACAAUAGGGGUCCUCUUCUAUACUCAUAACCAACCCAUAUAUUAAAUAUUAUGAUCAAGUGAAUGGUUCUCAAGAUAUUAACCGGACAACAUGUGGUCUACCGACCAGCCAACAGGUGCAAAGUAAUAUGCCUCUCUUCUUUUAGGGGGGGGGGGGGGGGGCAUAAAAAUGCACUACCCAAAUGGUACCAAAUAAUUUUUUCUUAUUAGAAAAUGCAUUAUAUUUGUGAAAAAUGAAAACAUAUAUUACCUACGUACAAUGUAUCUAUAUAUAACUCUUAAUCUAAAGAACAUGUCUGGUAUGCUUCUGUCUGGUUUCAGAUGCAUUUCAAGCUGAAAUAAAUGUAUAUAAAUAAAUAACUAUAAAUCUAACUGCUUAAAAAAUUUGAAUUUGAGAAACUUUCAUAAUCAUAAAUUAUUACAAUGCUUUCAAAUUAUAUCUUGAUAGACUAGUGCACUUACAGAAUUAAUCUCAAAACUAUGUAAACUGAUCUUAAUUAUCAUGAUUUAAGUUCUACAUGCUCUGAGAAAUUUAAAAAACAAUGAAGAAUGAUAUUUAAUAACUCAUCCAGUCAGGGUCAUUCAAUGAUACUGGACAUUCAUUUCUAGUCUGUGACUGGAUCUAGCCAAGAAAUAGUCAAAAUAAUUCUUCCAUAACAUUGAAGGUCCAAAGUUUUUUUAAGGUCACUUGCUAUCUGUUUUUGUCUGUCGCUGUGCAUAUGUGCAGGUGUGUGUCAUUUGUAAACUUCUCACAUUUUCAAUUCAUUCUCAAGAACCGCUGAUUAAAACCUGAUUUCAAUUACACUUGCCACAAAGUAUUCUUAGGUGAGGGGGAUUCUUUUUUUUCUUCUUCAAAUGAAGGGUAGUGCCCCCUUCCAAGGAGAGAUAAUCAAGAAAAGGUGAUGUCAUUAAAAAUAUCCCUUCUCAAGAAGAGUUGAAUCUUAUCUGAAAGCCUCCUGACAUACAGAAACUGUAGUGUAAAUUCUUUUUUUGUGUCGCCUGCGUUACACGCAGUGGCGACAUAUAGGGAUCACUAUCCGUCGUCUUGCGUCGUCGUCUGGCGUCGUCGUCGUCACAAAAAAUUUCUGUCACAGUUUUCUCAAGAACCACAUGGGGCAACUCCCUGAUAUUUGGCACAGAGCAUCAGUGUGGCCAACUGUAUUGUGUAAGACAUUUUCGAAUCUGUUGCUUAUCAACUUCCUGUUUGCCGGGACUUAGAAUUUUUUACAGCAAAAAAAUUUCUGUCACAGUUUUCUCAAGAACCACAUGGGGCAACUCCCUGAUAUUUGGCACAGAGCAUCAGUAUGGCCAACUGUAUUGUGUAAGCCAUUUUCGAAUCUGUCGCUUAUCAACUUCCUGUUUGCCGGGACUUAGAAUUUUUUACAGCAAAAAAAUUUUUUGCUGAAGAUUUUAUUUUAUGAUUAACUGAAGGACAGUAUUUUUAUGUACAAAAGGACAGUAUUUGUAAUUCCCAUACUGAAGGACAGUAUAUGUGAUUUCAGAACAGCACUAAUUAUGAUUUUUCUUGAGAAACAGUAAAUUGGAUAUAUAAAAAGACAACAAGACUAAGCAGUAAACCCAACAGAUAAUUACUUAUGGUUAUUACCAUUGUCUUCAAGAGCACAGUAACAGGUUGAUACUUAUUUUCAAACAUAUGUUUUCAUUCAGUCUACAUUUAAUAAAUAUCUUAAUUUCAAACAGAUUCUCCCAAAAAUUCCAUUCCAUAAUAAUGUCUCAUCUUUCAAUUUCAAUUAAGUUAUCGUUAAAGAAUGUUUAGUAAUUCUCAAAACCUUUAAAAGGAGUAUUAAACUGACAAAAACCAUUUGAAUAAUUUACUUUUUCAACAUUAUACGUGAUAUAUUACAUAUAGAAUGAACUACACAUGUCUUCCGGGGAAGACUUAAUACUGCGUUUUAAAUCAUGGCCCCUGGGGGUAGGGUGGGGCCACAGAAGUGGAUCAAAGUUUGACAUAGGAAUAUAUAGGAAGAAAUCUUGUAAGAUCUUCUCAAGAAGGCUAUGGCUGGCCAUAUUAAAAUUGGGAACAUCCUUAAAUUGUUCCGAUUCCAGUUUGUUCAAAUCAAGACCCCCAGAAGUACGAUGGUUGAAAUAUUACAUACGACUCUAGUUCAGUAUUGUUACAUGCAAAUUAUCAGGACAGAAUUGGAGGAAGUGAAAUUUGCUUGGAAUAACCAUCGGAUCAGGAAGCAAAAAAUGGGAGAUGUUGUUCCUGGGAUUCCAGAAUUCCUUUAUCAUGUUCCAGAAAUGUUAGGUAUUCCAGUGUAAAAAUUAUAUCCAUCCUCUAAGUGUGAAUGACGAAAAGUUUAAGUUCCUAAAGGACCAGUGCUGUUUUAAAAAUGACUUGGAUAAGGACAUUCAAGAAUCUCUUGAUGUUAUAUGCGACCAUCACCGGCCUUCAUCAGUAUUUGAAGCCAAAGCAAUGUAUAUUUCACUGAAAGAUAUUGGAACAGUAUAUUUAUCAGUAAUUUAUGAUGUUUUGGACUUUAUGGCAAUUCUGACAAGUUCAAGAUCACCGACAGAAUUUUUUAAAAAUAAAAUCCAGUUAAUGAAUCUACAAUGGAUAAAUAUUGGAAUUUGAUACUUCAAGCAAAGAUUAAUAUGAGCUAAAGAUAUUUUUUCGUUUUAACUUUGUCUGAAGGUAAUUCGGACAAGUUAAGGUCUUAAGGCAAAAAGUGUUAAUUUCAUGUCAGUCCCAUAACUUUGUAUGGGGGAUACUCUGCAAGUUUAUAUUGCAUAUAAGAUUACUUAUGACCAGAGAGUGUCUCAUUAUUUAUUUUUUUGUAACCAGGGUGAUUUUGGCAAGUUUGUGGUCACUUGUAGAAGUUUGUGAGCUCACAGUGCCUUUAGUUUUUUGUAUUCUUAUUAUUGUUAUAUGACCUCCUGGUCUUUUAUGUUUCCAUGUUUUAUUCUAUGCAAAUUUCACUUCUUCCCAUACUUUUUGCCAUACUCUAUUUAUGUGUCUUAAGUUUUAUAGACAAUUUUUGUAUUUCUUUUUUGUCAGUAUUUCAAUAAUUUGACCUUUCAUUAUGACCAUCUAUGAAAGAAAUUAUGUAUAUUAUGGAACAGUCUGUGCGAAAAGGUAACCCGACGAUUGCCUCCAAGUGAUCACUGUAAUUGAAACUUUGUGUAAAAACAAAUUUUCGUAUUGUUAAGAGUGAUUUUCUUCAGAGAAAGUUUAUUUGGAGAUUUUAGAUUCUUUAUGGUGAUUUCUCCCCCCCCCCCGAGAAUUCUAUUGUUGAUAUACUUUUAAUUAUUAGUAGGAAACCGAUGAGUGAUAGCCUACUUCAUAUGAGUUAACUUCCUAGUUUUUAUACGCCCGUCAAAGACAGGACGUAUUAUGGUAUGGCGUCGUCCGUCAGUCUGUCCGGACCUUGUGGGCAGGAUACAGACUGAACCAUAAGCCCUAGGACUUUACAACUUGGUACAUUUGAUCACCAUGAUGAGAGGAAGAUGCCUAUUUUUUUCAAGGUCAAAGGUCAAGGUCAUAGGUUUACUUAGUAGGAAAACCUUGUAGGUAUACAGACCGAACCGUUGGGGCUAGGAGUGUCAAAUUUAAUACGCAUAUACCUUAUUCCAAGUGGAGGAAGCCUAUUGUUUCUCAAGGUCAAAGGUCAAGGUGGUUGUAGCAGGAUACAAAUGAAACUGUUGUGGCUAGGAAUGCCAAUACUUUUCUUUUUCAAGUUUAAAAGGUCAAGACUGUUAGAUGGCAUGCUUCACUUGAUAAUUUGGUGCCAAGUAUAGCUUGUGAACUUCCAAGUUAUACUUUAUUGAAGAGAAAUUUCUAUAUAAUUUGAGAUUCUCCUGCAAAAAAAAUGGUGAUCUGCCUCUACAAAAAUAGUUAUGUUCAAUAUUUUUUACCAUUUCAAACUGAAACUAAUUACUGAAAUAAACACAUGAAAUCAAAUUGUAUUGCAUUUCAGUAUACUGUACCUGUACUUAUACUUUAGCACUAACUGUUUCAAGCAAAGGUGUGUGGUAUAUUAGCAUAUUUAUAAAGUAGCGCAUUCUAAGGCUAUCCCUCUUUAUAUCUUGAUAUCCAUUUCUACAAGCAUAAUAAUGAAUUAGCUCAAAGAGGACAGUGCUAACUUCACUAAAAUAUUAAUCCCACUAUAAUAUGUUUUCCUAGAGCAAAAUCUACGAGCGUAUUAUGCCACGUUGGCGUUGCUCUUGUUAUACCAUCUUGACCUGUCACUUAGUCAUCUUGAGUUGUUCCCCUUUGAUUGUGCUAUGAUUUUUAUGUCGAUCUAGUAUAUCUGGUUGUUGUGACAAUAAUAAAUUCUUGUCUUGUUAUAUGCAAGUCCUCAGUCAAGUUGUAUAACAUUUUGCUUGUUUAUUUAUUGAUUCAAAUGAAUAAAUGUAUUAAUUUUA